AACGAACGCUGGCGGCAGGCUUAACACAUGCAAGUCGAGCGAGACCUUCGUGUCUAGUGGCGGACGGGUGAGUAACGCGUGGGACCGUGCCCUUCUCCACGGAAAACUACCGGGACACUGGGAGUAAUACCGUAUACGUUCCUCUGGGGACAGAUACAACGGAGAAGUGACGGCCCGCGUUCGUUAAGUUUAUCGCGGAAGGAUUGGCCGAUCAAGGAUUAGCUCGUUGGCUGGGUAAAGGCCCACCACAGCGACGAUGCGUACCUUGUCUGAGAGGAUGAGCAGCCACUCUGGGACUGGGACGCGGCCCAGACUCCUACGGGAGGCAGCAGUGGGGAAUCUUAGACAAUGGCGGCAACCCUGAUCGAGCCAGGCCGGGUGAGUGAUGAAGGCCGUAGAGUUGUAAAGCUCUUUCAGCUGGGAAGGUAAUGACGGUACCAACAGAAGAAGCCCCGGCUAACUCCGUG
rnacentral:rRNA from 1 species